rfam:Myotis davidii contig214914, whole genome shotgun sequence.
GGCAGUUCUCAGGUAAUGGACCCCGGAAUCGGGCUCCCUCUUCUCUGAUUUUAGGGUGCAUCACCAGGGAAUCUCA